rnacentral:misc_RNA from 1 species
CCAAGGAAAGCAUCUAUGGGCCAGCCAAGUCCAAAAAGAGGCUAGGGUUCGUGUGGUAGAGGACCAGUUUAUGUGUUUUGUUAAUGAUUGUUAAAAGAGGAGGGGUUUUUUGGCUACAUUGAGUGGAAUGUGAUGGAUUAUUGGAGAGAGAAAAAAAAAUGAACAUUAUAAAAAUUGCACAACUUUUCAGUCAUAUGUCAUGCAAACUGCUGCAUUUGUAUCGUUUAAUUAAGAUCUGUGUGAAAUUGUUCCCAUAUCGACAUUUAUAAUUCUUUGUUGUUUUUUUUAUGAGAUUGUCUUAAUAAGCUAGAAUUGUAGCUUCUUGAAUGGAACAAACAAUUAGAAAUGUCUUUAAUCUAUCUUUUACGAUCAGAUAAAAUUAAUACUCUGCAUAUUACAAUGUAUGUAGAUACCCAAAAGGGAAUAAAAGUUUUAACAUAAUGAAAUUCCCUCAGGUCCUUGUCUGGUUUCUUUGUUGAUCAUAAGGAUCGAAUCUGUGAUAUAUUUUCUAUAUAACUUCAUGAUUUCGUAUUUUAAUAUGAAGUAAACCGUCCAUAAUAUGAAUGUGCUAAAAUGUAAAAGCUGUCAACAGGUACAAGUGGAUUUAUGAAUCCCUGCAGUUAUUUGUUGUCGGUACACUUAACAUGGAUUCCAAUGUCAAAUGUCUUUGGCAUUAUUCACUAACUAAUGACAUGGGCUAUGUUACCUUUUAUUUGUACAUGUGUUUUAUGAUACAUAUUUGUGAAGUUUUUAAAGAAUAAAACAUACCUUAAUUUGU